rnacentral:rRNA from 1 species
ACUACGGGUGGCAGCAGUGGGGAAUAUUGGGCAAUGGGCGCAAGCCUGACCCAGCAACGCCGCGUGAAGGAAGAAGGCUUUCGGGUUGUAAACUUCUUUUCUCAGGGACGAAGAAAGUGACGGUACCUGAGGAAUAAGCCACGGCUAACUACGUGCCAGCAGCCGCGGUAAUACGUAGGUGGCAAGCGUUAUCCGGAUUUACUGGGUGUAAAGGGCGUGUCGGCGGGACUGCAAGCCAGAUGUGAAAACCACGGGCUCAACCUGUGGCCUGCAUUUGAAACUGUAGUUCUUGAGGACUGGGGAGGCAGACGGAAUUCCUAGUGUAGCGGUGAAAUGCGUAGAUAUUAGGAGGAACACCAGUGGCGAAGGCGGUCUGCUGGACAGCAACUGACGCUGAGGCGCGAAAGCGUGGGGAGCAAACAGGAUUAGAUACCCUUGUAGUC